CCUACGGGUGGCAGCAGUGGGGGAUAUUGCACAAUGGGGGAAACCCUGAUGCAGCGACGCCGCGUGGGUGAAGAAGCGCCUCGGCGCGUAAAGCCCUGUCAGCAGGGAAGAAAAUGACGGUACCUGAAGAAGAAGCCACGGCUAACUACGUGCCAGCAGCCGCGGUAAUACGUAGGGGGCAAGCGUUAUCCGGAUUUACUGGGUGUAAAGGGGGCGCAGACGGCGAUGCAAGCCAGGAGUGAAAGCCCGGGGCCCAACCCCGGGACUGAUCUUGGAACUGCGUGGCUAGAGUGCAGGAGGGGCAGGCGGAAUUACUGGUGUAGCGGUGAAAUGCGUAGAUAUCAGGAGGAACACCGGUGGCGAGGGCGGCCUGCUGGACUGCAACUGACGUUGAGGCCCGACAGCGUGGGGAGCAAACAGGAUUAGAUACCCUGGUAGUC
rnacentral:rRNA from 1 species